AUGUGCUUGCUUUGGCAUCACAUACACUAAAAAAUUGGAAUGAUAGAGAAGAUUGGCAUGGCCCCUGUGCAAGGAUGACACACAAAUUUGUGAAGCAUUCCAUAUUAAA
rfam:Otolemur garnettii contig065342, whole genome shotgun sequence.